rnacentral:misc_RNA from 1 species
GAUGAAGAACGUAGCGAAAUGCGAUAAGUAAUGUGAAUUGCAGAAUUCAGUGAAUCAUCGAAUCUUUGAACGCACAUUGCGCCCGCCAGUAUUCUGGCGGGCAUGCCUGUCCGAGCGUCAUUUCAACCCUCGAACCCCUCCGGGGGGUCGGCGUUGGGGAUCGGCCCUUUCACCGGGUGCCGGCCCCUAAAUACAGUGGCGGUCUCGCCGCAGCCUCUCAUGCGCAGUAGUUUGCACACUCGCACCGGGAGCGCGGCGCGUCCUCGUCCGUAAAACACCCCAAACUUCUGAAAUGUUGACUUCGGAUCAGGUAGGAAUACCCGCUGAACUUAAGCAUAUCAAUAAGCGGAGGA